CACCAGGUUGAUUCUGCCUGACGUAGAUGCUAGUCUCUAAGAUUAAGCCAUGCAUGUUUAUGUAAUAAGGACGAACAGCUCAGUAGAACUACGAUGAUUUAGUCUGUCUGAUAAAGAUAACUACGUGAAAAUGUAGCUAAGAGAGGACAGAAUAAGACGUAGGACUAUCAGUUAGUUGGUAGUGUAAUGGGCUACCAAGACUAUGACGGGUAACGGGGAAUCAGGGUUUGAUACCGGAGAGGGAGCCUGAGAGAUAGCUCCCACGUCCAAGGACGGCAGCAGGCGCGAAAA
rnacentral:rRNA from 1 species